rnacentral:misc_RNA from 1 species
UCAGUGUUCAUCUUCGAACAACGACUCGAUUCAAAGCACACCCAUGAAGCCGCUUCACAUCAUCCCUUUGAAACUUUCCAAUCUCAUCAACGCUCCAAAUCUCACCACCAUUCAGUCCACUUUCACUUCCUCCUUGUCCUAAUCAUCUUUAAUCCAUCAGGGUAUUAUGGUAAUUACAUGAUCAAGUCUCUCUGCUAUAAAUAAAGCCAAGUGAGCUUAGCUCAUCAUCACAUCAUUUGCAUACCAGAAAAUCAAGAAUUGGGAAGAAAUGGGAAGAGUUAUGAAUACAUUUAUAGUUGUUUUAUUAUGUUU